rnacentral:ncRNA from 1 species
GCCAUAAAAUCGGGGAGCUUAGAGAACUAGGCUGAGAGUAUUCUUGUAACUAGAAUAGACCUUACCUGAUCUGGAUAAUGCCAGCGUAGGAUAAACUUUUUAAUUUUCUUU